rnacentral:rRNA from 1 species
AGAGUUUGAUCAUGGCUCAGAUUGAACGCUGGCGGCAGGCCUAACACAUGCAAGUCGAGCGGUAGCACAGAGAGCUUGCUCUCGGGUGACGAGCGGCGGACGGGUGAGUAAUGUCUGGGAAACUGCCUGAUGGAGGGGGAUAACUACUGGAAACGGUAGCUAAUACCGCAUGACGUCGCAAGACCAAAGUGGGGGACCUUCGGGCCUCAUGCCAUCAGAUGUGCCCAGAUGGGAUUAGCUGGUAGGUGGGGUAACGGCUCACCUAGGCGACGAUCCCUAGCUGGUCUGAGAGGAUGACCAGCCACACUGGAACUGAGACACGGUCCAGACUCCUACGGGAGGCAGCAGUGGGGAAUAUUGCACAAUGGGCGCAAGCCUGAUGCAGCCAUGCCGCGUGUGUGAAGAAGGCCUUCGGGUUGUAAAGCACUUUCAGCGGGGAGGAAGGCGGUGAGGUUAAUAACCUCAUCGAUUGACGUUACCCGCAGAAGAAGCACCGGCUAACUCCGUGCCAGCAGCCGCGGUAAUACGGAGGGUGCAAGCGUUAAUCGGAAUUACUGGGCGUAAAGCGCACGCAGGCGGUCUGUCAAGUCGGAUGUGAAAUCCCCGGGCUCAACCUGGGAACUGCAUUCGAAACUGGCAGGCUAGAGUCUUGUAGAGGGGGGUAGAAUUCCAGGUGUAGCGGUGAAAUGCGUAGAGAUCUGGAGGAAUACCGGUGGCGAAGGCGGCCCCCUGGACAAAGACUGACGCUCAGGUGCGAAAGCGUGGGGAGCAAACAGGAUUAGAUACCCUGGUAGUCCACGCUGUAAACGAUGUCGAUUUGGAGGUUGUGCCCUUGAGGCGUGGCUUCCGGAGCUAACGCGUUAAAUCGACCGCCUGGGGAGUACGGCCGCAAGGUUAAAACUCAAAUGAAUUGACGGGGGCCCGCACAAGCGGUGGAGCAUGUGGUUUAAUUCGAUGCAACGCGAAGAACCUUACCUGGUCUUGACAUCCACAGAACUUUCCAGAGAUGGAUUGGUGCCUUCGGGAACUGUGAGACAGGUGCUGCAUGGCUGUCGUCAGCUCGUGUUGUGAAAUGUUGGGUUAAGUCCCGCAACGAGCGCAACCCUUAUCCUUUGUUGCCAGCGGUCCGGCCGGGAACUCAAAGGAGACUGCCAGUGAUAAACUGGAGGAAGGUGGGGAUGACGUCAAGUCAUCAUGGCCCUUACGACCAGGGCUACACACGUGCUACAAUGGCAUAUACAAAGAGAAGCGACCUCGCGAGAGCAAGCGGACCUCAUAAAGUAUGUCGUAGUCCGGAUUGGAGUCUGCAACUCGACUCCAUGAAGUCGGAAUCGCUAGUAAUCGUAGAUCAGAAUGCUACGGUGAAUACGUUCCCGGGCCUUGUACACACCGCCCGUCACACCAUGGGAGUGGGUUGCAAAAGAAGUAGGUAGCUUAACCUUCGGGAGGGCGCUUACCACUUUGUGAUUCAUGACUGGGGUGAAGUCGUAACAAGGUAACCGUAGGGGAACCUGCGGUUGGAUCACCU